rnacentral:rRNA from 1 species
AGAGUUUGAUCAUGGCUCAGAUUGAACGCUGGCGGCAUGCCUAACACAUGCAAGUCGAACGGUAACGCGAGGAGCUUGCUCCUUGGCGACGAGUGGCGGACGGGUGAGUAAUACUUAGGAAUCUGCCCAGUAGUGGGGGACAACUCGAGGAAACUCGAGCUAAUACCGCAUACGCCCUACGGGGGAAAGCGGGGGAUCUUCGGACCUCGCGCUAUUGGAUGAGCCUAAGUCGGAUUAGCUUGUUGGUGGGGUAAAGGCCUACCAAGGCGACGAUCCGUAGCUGGUCUGAGAGGACGAUCAGCCACACUGGGACUGAGACACGGCCCAGACUCCUACGGGAGGCAGCAGUGGGGAAUAUUGGACAAUGGGGGCAACCCUGAUCCAGCAAUGCCGCGUGUGUGAAGAAGGCCUGCGGGUUGUAAAGCACUUUCAGUAGAGAAGAAAAGCUUACGGUUAAUACCUGUGAGUCUUGACGUAACCUACAGAAGAAGCACCGGCUAACUCCGUGCCAGCAGCCGCGGUAAUACGGAGGGUGCA